rnacentral:rRNA from 1 species
GCAAGUCGACCGCUGUGCUUGCACAGGGGGGCGAACGGGUGAGUAACACGUAUCUAACCUACCUUAUAGUCUGGAAUAACUGCGGGAAACUGCAGCUAAUUCCGGAAAGAAGUCCAUUGGAAUCACUUGAAGACCAAAGGCCCGAUUGGGUCGCUAUUAGAUGGGGAUGCGGCGUAUUAGUUAGUUGGUGAGGUAAUGGCUCACCAAGACGAUGAUACGUAGCCGGCCUGAGAGGGUGAAC